rfam:Klebsiella pneumoniae subsp. pneumoniae MGH 78578, complete sequence.
AUUACCCAUCGUGAUGUGGUUAUUGCUAUCAAUAAGUUAUUGAUGCAAAGGGCAAUAUUUUGUUGCCCUUUUUUAUUU